rnacentral:misc_RNA from 1 species
AAGUCGUAACAAGGUUUCCGUAGGUGAACCUGCGGAAGGAUCAUUAAAGAGACGUUGCCCUUCGGGGUAUACCUCCCACCCAUUGUUUAUUAUACCUUUGUUGCUUUGGCAGACCCGGCUUCGGCCCACCGGCUUUGGCUGGUCAGUGUCUGCCAGAGGACCUAAAACUCUGUUUGUUAAUAUUGUCUGAGUACUAUAUAAUAGUUAAAACUUUCAACAACGGAUCUCUUGGUUCUG